rnacentral:rRNA from 1 species
GACGAACGCUGGCGGCGUGCCUAACACAUGCAAGUCGAACGGAAAGGCCCUGCUUUUGUGGGGUGCUCGAGUGGCGAACGGGUGAGUAACACGUGAGUAACCUGCCCUUGACUUUGGGAUAACUUCAGGAAACUGGGGCUAAUACCGGAUAGGAGCUCCUGCUGCAUGGUGGGGGUUGGAAAGUUUCGGCGGUUGGGGAUGGACUCGCGGCUUAUCAGCUUGUUGGUGGGGUAGUGGCUUACCAAGGCUUUGACGGGUAGCCGGCCUGAGAGGGUGACCGGCCACAUUGGGACUGAGAUACGGCCCAGACUCCUACGGGAGGCAGCAGUGGGGAAUAUUGCACAAUGGGCGGAAGCCUGAUGCAGCAACGCCGCGUGCGGGAUGACGGCCUUCGGGUUGUAAACCGCUUUCGCCUGUGAGGAAGCGUGAGUGACGGUAAUGGGUAAAGAAGCACCGGCUAACUACGUG